AUGGAUCCAGAGUUGAAGUCCAUCAUCUCUCACUUGGCCAAGUUGAAAAAGGCCAUGGCUGAAAGUGAACAACAACCCGAGGAAGCCUACGCCAUCAAAUUACAAGGUGAUGUCCCAAGAUACGUCCUUGGCCUUUUGUACCCACUUCAACCUCCAGAUGAAGUGGUGAAGAUUUGGGCCAAGCAAAGUGAUGAUCCUCCGCCUUUCGCCAUGGAGUUCGAUUGGAAAUCAACAUGGAAAUCUCUUCGACCUUUUAAAGGUUGGCCAUGCAAAACUUCUGAGGUUGACUGUGUGGCUAAGAAGAAGUCCAAAGCCAAGAAACCCAACCCAAUGGCCGAUGUUGAUCCUAAGAAAAGUUGGUAUGAUUGGUACAAAGCUUUGCAACUAAGACUGAAGACUUCUUGGCAAAAAAGUGGGAUCUAUGAUGUCUUGGCUCUUUGCACCUCCGGGGACUUUCCUUGUGAUUGUUCACUCAUCAUCGCAGGCCUAUGUUUUUGGUCAUCCUCCGUUAAUUGCAUGAGGUUAUGAUGAGGGAUGAUGACCCCUACUCUACUUGAUCUGGCUGCUAUUGCCGGCCUCCGUCCACAAGGUGUGGUUUCUUCAGCGGCCGACCUUCCAGAACCCCUUUUGAAGCCGGACUACGACAAGCCCAACAAGAAUUUCACCAACUGGAUCAAAACCCACUUUGGCUACAUCGGGUCAUCUUCUGGGGCUCCGAUAGGUUCCACAAAUGGUGUGUCUUACACGAAGCACGUAGCCUUUCUUCAGAUGUGACUAUGCAAAUUCUUGACUUGCUCAAAAUCUAGCCAAGUCACCAAAGAAGUCCAACCUUUGGCUGAGGCUCUUGCAGAUGGCCAAGCAGUGGCCUUGGUUGUUUUGCCCAAACCCAUGUCAUGCAACCCUUUAGCCCCGAUUUGGCUUUUUCAACUGUGGCUCCAAGUUUACUUCUCGGAGUUGGGUCCAGCCAACUUCACAUUUCGGGGUGACUCACUUCUAGGAAAAUCGAUUGCUAGCCUCCCCUUGCCUAAACACCAUGUUGAGGACUGCUUCAGAUUUUUCUACGGAUGUUCACAGAGGUCACCUAGUGACUUAUCCAUGUGCUUAGAUCAUCGUUACCCGGGUUAUUUGGCUUUGGACCUUGCCAGCAUCCCCACACUAGAGACUAAGGAAGAACAGUGA
rnacentral:lncRNA from 1 species